rnacentral:rRNA from 1 species
AUUAAACAUACAGUUAAAGACUGAGGAAAACCCUCUUUGUUCUGUAUCUAUUGAAUAUCUUGAGUUUUGAAGGUGGUUUUUUGAAUUCCAUAAGUAAAGGUGAAAUUUGUUGAUAUUUGGAAGACAUCCAGAAGCGAAAGCAUGAACCAACUCAAAUCUGACGCUAGGUACUAAAGUAUGGGGAUAAAGAGGAUUAGAGACCCUCGUAGUCCAUACCUUAAACAAUGAGUGUUAAACAUUUUUAGUAGUAAUCAAGUACAUUUAUUUUAAAGGUUUAAUUUUAACAGAAUUAUCUCAUCAACUUAAAUUAAUUUUUAAAUAAUAUGUUUAGUAAUAUUGUUGCUACUAUUUGUGAUUUUAAGCUAACGCGUGAAACACCGCCUGGGGAAUGUGGCCGCAAGGUUAAACUCAAAGGAAUUGACGGAGACUUAUACAAGG